rnacentral:rRNA from 1 species
UACGUAGGGUGCGAGCGUUGUCCGGAAUUACUGGGCGUAAAGAGCUCGUAGGUGGUUUGUCGCGUUGUCCGUGAAAACUCACAACUCAAUUGUGGGCGUGCGGGCGAUACGGGCAGACUGGAGUACUGCAGGGGAGACUGGAAUUCCUGGUGUAGCGGUGGAAUGCGCAGAGUAUCAGGAGGAACACCGGUGGCGAAGGCGGG